AGUGAACGCUGGCGGUAGGCCUAACACAUGCAAGUCGAACGGCAGCACAGUAAGAGCUUGCUCUUACGGGUGGCGAGUGGCGGACGGGUGAGGAAUACAUCGGAAUCUACUUUUUCGUGGGGGAUAACGUAGGGAAACUUACGCUAAUACCGCAUACGACCUACGGGUGAAAGCAGGGGAUCUUCGGACCUUGCGCGAUUGAAUGAGCCGAUGUCGGAUUAGCUAGUUGGCGGGGUAAAGGCCCACCAAGGCGACGAUCCGUAGCUGGUCUGAGAGGAUGAUCAGCCACACUGGAACUGAGACACGGUCCAGACUCCUACGGGAGGCAGCAGUGGGGAAUAUUGGACAAUGGGCGCAAGCCUAAUCCAGCCAUACCGCGUGGGUGAAGAAGGCCUUCGGGUUGUAAAGCCCUUUUGUUGGGAAAGAAAAGCAGCAGGUUAAUACCCCGCUGUCCUGACGGUACCCAAAGAAUAAGCACCGGCUAACUUCGUG
rnacentral:rRNA from 1 species